UAGGGAAUCUUCCGCAAUGGGCGAAAGCCUGACGGAGCAACGCCGCGUGAGUGAUGAAGGUCUUCGGAUCGUAAAACUCUGUUAUUAGGGAAGAACAAAUGUGUAAGUAACUAUGCACGUCUUGACGGUACCUAAUCAGAAAGCCACGGCUAACUACGUGCCAGCAGCCGCGGUAAUACGUAGGUGGCAAGCGUUAUCCGGAAUUAUUGGGCGUAAAGCGCGCGUAGGCGGUUUUUUAAGUCUGAUGUGAAAGCCCACGGCUCAACCGUGGAGGGUCAUUGGAAACUGGAAAACUUGAGUGCAGAAGAGGAAAGUGGAAAUCCAUGUGUAGCAGUGAAAUGCGCAGAGAUAUGGGGGAAAACCAGUGGCGAAGGCGACUUUCUGGUCUGUAACUGACGCUGAUGUGCGAAAGCGUGGGGAUCAAACAGG
rnacentral:rRNA from 1 species